rnacentral:rRNA from 1 species
AUGCUCGCGCCGGAGAAGGGCGGCCGCCUCACCGGAGCCGUCAGCAGGCUUCGCCGAGGCGCGUGCUCACGGGAGGAGGGAAGCCGUGCCACCGGGACCGGCGGUGCUCGCCCUGAUGCAGUCUGGGUGCAACUCCACUAUCUACUACAACCUCCAGGCGGCCGCCCUCGUCGCGGACCCGCCAGCUCCACUGCCGAUCUCCGCGGCCUCUGCGCCAUCGCCGUCACCGCGGCGACCGCCAACGCCUCCGCCAUCGCGUUCGUGCUCGCCAACACCACCUGGGGCACACCAGAGCCCGGUAGCGACGGGCGCACACAACAGGUGCCGACGCUCCUGAUGAGGACCUGCGCCGGCAAGUACGGCGAGGCGGAAGGAGGUAGUCGUCCACACGUGGGGGAGGGGGUGAUUGCUUUUUCUUUUUUGAUACAAGGGUGUGUGUGCAAUUUCUUUGCCAAAUUAGCUCCUUACAAUCUGGGCCUACCUGCCAGAAAGUGA